CCCUUAGAUGUCCUGGGCUGCACGCGCGUUACACUGAUGCAUUCAACGAGCUUAUAACCUUGGCCGAGAGGCCUGGGCAAUCUUGUUAACGUGCAUCGUGAUAGGGAUAGAUUAUUGAAAUUAUUAAUCUUGAACGAGGAAUUCCUAGUAAACGCAGAUCAUCAAUCUGCAUUGAUUACGUCCCUGCCCUUUGUACACACCGCCCGUCGCACCUACCGAUUGGAUGGUCCGGUGAAGCCUCGGGAUUGUGGUUCUUGCCGCUUUAUUGUGGCGUGACCGCGAGAACUUGUCUAAACCUUAUCAUCUAGAGGAAGGUGAAGUCGUAAC
rnacentral:rRNA from 1 species